AUUGAACGCUGGCGGAAUGCUUUACACAUGGAAGUCGAACGGCAGCACGGGUGCUUGCACCUGGUGGCGAGUGGCGAACGGGUGAGUAAUACAUCGGACCGUACCCUGACGUGGGGGAUAACGUAGCGAAAGCUACGCUAAUACAGCCUACGUCCUGAGGGUGAAAGCAGGGGAUCGUAAGAACUUGCGCGUUAGGAGCGGCCGGGGGCGGAUUAGCUAGUUGGUAGGGUAAAGGCCUAGCAAGGCGACGAUCCGUAGCGGGUCUGAGAGGACGACCCGCCACACUGGAACUGAGACACGGUCCAGACUCCUACGGGAGGCAGCAGUGGGGAAUUUUGGACAAGGGGCGAAAGCCUGAUCCAGCCAUUCCGCGUGCAGGAUGAAGGCCCUCGGGUUGUAAACUGCUUUUGUACAGAACGAAAAGGUUUCUACUAAUACUAGGAGCUCAUGACGGUACUGUAAGAAUAAGCACCGGCUAACUACGUGCCAGCCGCCGCGGUAA
rnacentral:rRNA from 1 species